AUAAUUCAGAGGAGAAAAAAAACGGAAAUUCGAAGACGCACAAACGAGCAAUCGACGCCGCCGUUAGAGCGUAUGACCAGAAAACCUUCGAGCGAAGAUAAUAAUACUUUACAUAGGAAAACGUCAAAGAAGAAAAGUAAUAUUGAAAGAGAGGCUGUCGUUGCAUCUGAGUCAUACCUGAACACAAAAGUCCGGGUGGAAGCACAGGAAACACAAAUUAUCACAGCUAAAUGUAAAGAUAAUAUAUCCACUGGUGCACUGACAAGCAGACGAACGAAAACGUCGGAUGAGAGGAAAGGCGUUUUAAUGUCAAUAAAUUUAUCAAACAGCCCUAAUAGUGUCACUGUAUAACCUAAAAACUACACUAAACAAAAUGUAGAAGCACAGUCAAAUAUCAACAAUGAUAAUAAGCACAAGAGGGCAAAUACAGAAACUAAUAGCAGUAUCAGGAAACUUCAACCGUCUUCCAACAAUACAACCCCUGUCGCAACUUUAUUACAGCAUGAUUUGCAAGUUUUUACAAUUAAGUCUUCUACUUAUGAUAAUCAUAUACACGAAGUAACAUCCUCGUCUGACUUCAAAAAAGACAGAAAGUGCGGUGAAAGAAGAAAUUCAAGCGUUUUAAAGUCGACGACGGCUGUGUCAAGUAGUCCAGGUCCUUCCUGUAAUAACAAGACACGUACAUCAAGUAUUUACAAAUCUGCCUUAAAGUCACAAUCAGAUGUACUCCGUACUCAAAGUCAAAAUACUGCACCUGCUAGACAAAGAAAUAGUUCACAUAACUACUACAGGUACGAAAACAAGAAAAGGAACGACACCGAAAUACACUGGAAACCAACUUAUGAUAUACAUUGCUCAACUAAAAGACAUUACGCAACUAAAAAACCUAAAUACAACAGUUCUCGACUUCGAAUAUAUAAAUGGACAGAGUUGAACUCGGAACACCUAAAAACAGUUCUUUAGUUUUACGACGAGAGUGUAAAGGUAGACACUAAUCAAAAAAAUGAAACUCAGUAUUAUAUAAAUGAACUGUUAGAAAGCAUUCUUGAUGAUAGAGGAAAUGGAAAACGAUUUAAUGCCUAUGCUGAUGAAGAAGGUUCUGUUGCGGUCGGACUUAAAGUGGGAAAGGCAGACGAGUCGGAUCAUAGUGUUGAAAUCCUAGUCAAUACCCAACUUAUUCAUUUGUCAGAUGAGCCCUUCAGUUGUGAGUACAAGGAUGAUGAUAUUGACAGCUAUUUCAUAGAGGAACCAACGAUAUUUGUUGACGCAGGAAAACGGUAUUUCCCAGAUGAAGACAGACAGUUAAUUAAGACACGCGAACCGCCUGAAAUUCAGAAUGGUUUCAUAGCUGUUAGUAUUGGAAAUAACGACUAUUCCAGAUUUCGAAAUUGUUGCAUCUCUGCAAGAGAUCACAUGUGGCACUUACCAUAUCAACUUCUUGGGGAGUUUCAUCAUUUUGUCGGUAAUGCAGUGUAUGGACUUGAUGGCGUGACUUUGAACAAGGCAGCAAGAGGUCCAGCUAUAACACUGACAAUCACACAGAAUGGUGGACCAAAUAUUUCCGUAGAUAUAACACUCAAACUGACCCUGCCAAGUGAAACACUUAGUGUCACGGAUUUCUCGUGGCCAAGGCGUGAUACAAAAAAAUGGUUGACGGAAGAGAAGAUAGGCCAAGUUGCCUGUCAGCUGAUAUAUCUAGUUCCAAAGGGAGACAAGUAUUGGAAAAUAUCGUUUGCAAACUGUGAAUACGAAAUACUUAGAGAUAUUGAUGGUAAUGUAACCUGGAGAAAGGCAUGUCUUAGAAUAAUGAAAAAGAAAUUAAUGCAGUGGCAAUCAAAGUCAACAAACGGCCUGAAAGGGCUUUCAUCAUACCUUUUGAAGACAACACUUUUAUGGUUGUGUGAAAUUUUACCAGAGGACGAGGACUGGUAGAAGGACCAAUUAGCAAACCGUUACCUCAACUUUUUACAACAGUUCGCAUAUCGUCUAAGGAAGAGAUACAUAGGCGAAUACUUCAAUCCAUCAGUAAAUCUUCUAGAAGACAAGGAUGAUGAUUGUAUUGAUGAACUAAUAGAGUUUCUCGAGGAGGAAAUUACCUCUCUAGGCGGAAGCCAUUGUUGAAAGGCGGCACUGCCAUGGAUGAGUGAAAUAUUUCAGAUGGCAGUUUGUGGUCUAGAAAUCAGCUUUAAACCUUUUACUUAAACUAUCCUAUAAGAGCUAAACAACGCAAAAAUAUAAAUGGAAAACUUCAACCUUCCAGUGCAUCGUUUGGAGUACGUGAAUUUAUUCUUGCAUGCCAAACAGGAUUUUCCCACGCUUUUGCCGCUGCUUAUAAGAUGACUCACUUAUGCAAUUGAUGAAUAAAUGCGUAAAUUCAAAUGCACCUAUUUUAAUAUUGAGCUCAAAAGAAAACAAAAUAGUUUUACUUAUUAAAGAAUAUGGCAUGCAAGAAAAAGAAUCUGCCAAUUUUGUGAAGGUGCAGAUGGAAAUAUCUGGCUCUCGAAAAACUGUGUUUGCGGUAACUCGGCAGAGCCUUGUUACCGCCUACACGGUUACCCUCGAUCCGAAUAUUUCUAUCCGCACCUUCAGUCAGUGAAUGAUUCUUAUUAGGUUACAGAGAAACUGAAAAAGUGUCUACUAAACGAAAGUAAAUUUCACUGAAAUAAGUUUAUUAGUGUAGCAUUUGCAAUAAACAGUUGGACUCUGAUACAUACAUUGAUUAACACCGCACAAACCUCUCCUUAACUAACAAAACAACUUGUCAAACAUGAGUAUAUCACAAACAGAAAACCAAAAUAUCCGAGAAGGUUAUUGGCAAAUGAUAUAUUACAGGUAAAGGAUGGUGGUGUUUUUGUUGUUGUAGUUGUUAAUGAUGAUAUAAUGAAAUAAUAGUUACUACUACAGUCAUGUGCGUUUUCCCGAAACAAGAAACGGGUUGAUCGAAAUGGCGGAACAUUACAAAUGUCACAACACUCUUUAUGCAACAUGACGUCGUCAUGUGAAAGGCAUGCAUUUUAUCAGACGCUAUUUAUGAUAUAAACAAAGAGCAAAAGAUGAGACUAUCUGCAAACUUUAUACUUGUCAAAUCUGCAAGGAAUCGUCUGUAUUAGUUUAUUUAAAGAAUAGUUUGUAUUAGUUAAGAUUAAAAUGUGAUCUGUCGAAGACACAGUCGUGGGUUGAAAAGUGUAGACAGUGACAGGAAAUCUGUGUUUUUAGCUUUUUUGUUUCACUGAAACGAUGCUGGCACAUAGUUGUUUUUGUUAAGACAGUUGAAUAUAAAGUAAAUAUUAAAUGAGGCAAGCUUUUAGGAAAGAUAUACAGACUUCUGAAAAUAAAAUGAAUUUUGUUAACUGCUGCUGAGGUAAAAGGGAUAAUACUUGCUCCGGGUCGUUCCCAACAUUUUAUUUCCAAGCAAAAAUGGCUUAAUCUGAUGUGAUAUCUUCAUUCCCAUAAAUAUUAUAAAUAUGUACGUACCUCAGUCAUUUUUCGUUUACGAGUUUUUAGCUCACCUGCCACGUAGUGACAGGUUGAGCUUUUGUGAUCGCAUUUUGUCCGUCUUCCGUUCACAAUUUCUUGUGACCACGAUAGAGACCACAUUUUGCAAUCAACUUUAUUCAAACUUGCACACAACUUGUAUUGGCAUCCUGGUUAAUAUCCUGGUUUCUUUUGAAAACUGGCAUGAUCCCAUCAUGGGUUCCAGAUUUAUGGGUCCUUAAAGGGACACAAUUCGCUAUUUUUGGCUUGUGAACACGAUAGAGACCACAUUUUGCAAUCAAAUUUAAUCAACCUUGCACACAACUUGUACUGGCAUAAUAUCUCAGUUCAUUUUGGAAACUAAUCAUA
rnacentral:misc_RNA from 1 species